GUGGCGGCGACGGUGAACUGCGCGGACAACACCGGGGCCAAGAACCUCUACAUCAUCUCCGUGAAGGGCAUCAAGGGCCGCCUCAACCGCCUCCCGUCCGCCUGCGUCGGCGACAUGGUCAUGGCCACCGUCAAGAAGGGCAAGCCCGAUCUCCGUAAGAAGGUCAUGCCCGCCGUCAUCGUCCGCCAGCGCAAGCCGUGGCGCCGCAAGGACGGUGUCUACAUGUACUUCGAAGAUAA
rnacentral:misc_RNA from 1 species